UACGUAGGCAGCAAGCGUUGUUCGGAGUUACUGGGCGUAAAGGGUGUGUAGGCGGUUGGUUAAGUUUGGUGUGAAAUCUCCCGGCUCAACUGGGAGGGUGCGCCGAAUACUGAAUGACUAGAGUGUGGGAGAGGUGAGUGGAAUUCCUGGUGUAGCGGUGAAAUGCGUAGAUAUCAGGAGGAACACCGGUGGUGUAGACGGCUCACUGGACCAUAACUGACGCUGAGACACGAAAGCGUGGGUAGCAAACAGG
rnacentral:rRNA from 1 species